GUAACGUCUCUUCUUCCUGGUACACAUGUGUAUGAAAUCCUGAAAAAAGUAUUUCAACAACUUUUUCUUGAACCACAGAAACUUCACCUUACCAAAUUGUAGGACCAGACAUUGUGAGAAAGUUUGAUUGCAUUCAAGAGCUGCCAGAGCUAAAGCUAGAAAAGAAACUAAACAACUUCUUCUCAUGAUCUGCUUAAUUGAUCUUCACAUUGAAUUGUCAACCUGUAUGCUACAUUGUAUAACGACGUUGAGCAAAUAAAGAUACUGCAGUCAGCGUUACAACCUUCAUUAAACAGAAUGAAUUGGUGUUACAGAAAUGGAUAACAUACGGAGACAAACACUUUGCAGGCUACAGAAACUACACAUUGUUUGAGAAUGGCUUAUUUUCAUAAUGGAACUCAUACCACAAAGAAAGAACUUGCUUUAUCUUAUUUCUUAUACUAGUCCUCAAAGAGAUAUCCAAGUAAACUACAACAGGAAUGAAAGCAAUCAAAGUUGAUUCAGGAUUUAGAAUUGAAUGUUUUUGUUUCAACAGUGUGUGAAAACUGCGGAAAACAGGAUUUUAAUUUCAAGGAUUUGAUUUAGUAUGUCAAGGAGUGAUUUGUUUUUAAUUGAUCACACAAGUUAUUGACAAUGCUCUAAAAUAUAAAUAGGAUGUGUAAAUACAGACUUCCAUACCUAACUAAAAUAAUGUUGAACUCAACAGAAUAAACAAACUAUCAUCUGUUGUAUAAUAUAUUAGUUGAUUUAUCAAACUUUGUCAGUUUUGUUACAUUACUUAUCAUUGAUACAAUCUAUUAUCUAAUAACUCCUUACAGUGUGUCAAGUACUCAUCAUUUAAGUUUGUUAGCUCAUUUUGAAAUAAUUACAGGACUGAUAUUUUACCGGUAUUAGUUAAAUGUGUUGUUAUUAGACCCCUUACAUUUGAAAGUGAGUUUUCUUUAUACAUACAGGCUUCUGCUAUUCCGUCUAUUGGCUAGUCCAGUCUGUCAAAUCUUUGUCCAGAAAUUACAUUUGAAAUAAAAUAUAGCAUCAUUUU
rnacentral:lncRNA from 1 species